UAUUUCCGCACGAUGAUCGCCUCACUUUGUGAGGAGGAAAGUCCGGACACGCCCACAGCUCGUUGUGGAGCAGAGUAGCGGGUAACACCCGUCGCGGCGGAUCGCGGGCAAAAUGAAGGACGAGUCCUUCAUUUUGCCCGCGAUCCGACCGAGAGGUGCGAGCAGAGACGCCCUGACUGAAAGGAACGGGAUCCCCUCGGGGAUAGUCACUUGGGAGACCAGGUGAGUGAAACGGCUAAAUCCUUACUCGCGUGCAAGACCGUGCCUAGCACCACUUUUGCGUCUACAAUACAGUGGUUGCAAAAGUGGUGCUAGGAGAGUCGCAAGAGGUGUUUGGUAACAAGCAUCCUAGGUAAAUGAUCAUCCGAGCUUCGCUCGACAGAAUCCGGCUUAUGUGUACAAAAACACC
rnacentral:RNase_P_RNA from 1 species